rnacentral:rRNA from 1 species
UACGUAGGGGGCUAGCGUUGCUCGGAAUCACUGGGCGUAAAGCGCACGUAGGCGGCUUUCUAAGUCAGGGGUGAAAUCCUGGAGCUCAACUCCAGAACUGCCUUCGAUACUGGCGAUCUCGAGUUCGGGAGAGGUGAGUGGAACUGCGAGUGUAGAGGUGAAAUUCGUAGAUAUUCGCAAGAACACCAGUGGCGAAGGCGGCUCACUGGCCCGAUACUGACGCUGAGGUGCGAAAGCGUGGGGAGCAAACAGG